UAAUUUAGUUCAAUUCAUUAGGUUACUAAAUAAUGCAACAGCAAUAGUAAUUUUAAAAAAUAAAUAAUAAUAAUAAUAAUAAUUAAUUGGCUAAAGAGAGGAAGGGGAUUGUUAGGAUGUGAGAGAAGUAUAAAAGCUGAAGAAAACAGUCUUGGUUGGUAUGUUAAGAAAUCAGUAGGACCGUUAUUAAAAGUAGUUGGAAGAAGUAAGAUCUUAGAUGUAGAGGGAAGUAUGCCAAAGGAAAGUUAUAAACAAAACAACUAGAGAUGGUAGCAACUGAAGAAAGAUGGAUAUGAAUAAGAAUGUAUGGACAGUAUUACAGAGAGAUGAGAGAAGGAGCAGAUAUACACAAGACAUGGACAUGGUUACAAAAGAGUGAUAUAAAACCAGAGACAGACAGAGGCUCUUAUUUGUGCAGGACAAGAACAGGCAUUGAGACUAACUAUAUUAAAUAGAGAAGGUGAGAGUGUAUACUACAUUGUAAAUGAAUGUAAAGAGCUAGUUCAGAGAGAAUACAAAAGGAGACAUGACAAGAUUGCUCAGUUCAUCCAUUGGGAGCUAUGUGGGAAAUUUGAUAUGGAAAGAGGGAGGAAUUGGUAUGAUCACAAGCCUGAGGGGAUAAUUGAAACAGUUGAAGUAAAGAUAUAAUGGGACUUUAUGAUUCAGUGUGACAGAAUGGUUGAACAUUGCAAGCCAGAUAUUGUAGUUGUUAUGAAAAGGAAGAAGAGGUGUAUGAUUAUAGAUGUGGCAGUUCCAGGUGAUACUUGAGUCGAAGGAAAGGAAGAUGAAAAAGUUGAGAAAUAUCAGGAAUUGAGACAGAAAAUUGUGAAGCUAUGGGGGAUGAAGAAGGUGGAAGUAAUACCAAUUGUAGUUGGAGUGAUGGGGGCAGUAUCAUACAGGAUUAGUGACUGGU